AUUGAACGCUGGCGGCAGGCCUAACACAUGCAAGUCGAGCGAGCGGCGGACGGGUGAGUAAUGUAUGGGGACUGCCCGAUAGAGGGGGAUAAAUACUGGAAACGGUGGCUAAUACCGCAUACUAUCGGAUAACCCAUAUGGGAUUAGCGAGUAGGUGGGGUAAAGGCUAACCUAGGCGACGAUGUCUAGCUGGUCUGAGAGGAUGAUCAGCCACACUGUGACUGAGACACGGCCCAGACUCCGACGGAGGCAGCAGUGGGGAAUAUUGCGCAAUGGGCGAAAGCCUGAUGCAGCCAUGCCGCGUGUGUGAAGAAGGCCUUAGGAUUGUAAAGUACUUUCAGCAGGGAGGCGUUACCCGAAGAGGAAGCACCGGCUAACCCCGUGCCAGCAGCCGCGGUAAUAC
rnacentral:rRNA from 1 species